UACGGAGGAUGCAAGCGUUAUCCGGAAUCAUUGGGCGUAAAGCGUCCGCAGGUGGUUAAUCAAGUCUGCUGUUAAAGACAGAAGCUCAACUUCUGGUCGGCAGUGGAAACUGGGGAACUAGAGUACGGUAGGGGUUGAGGGAAUUCCAGUGUAGCGGUGAAAUGCGUAGAUAUUGGGAAGAACACCAGUGGCGAAGGCGCUCAACUGGGCCGUAACUGACACUCAGGGACGAAAGCUAGGGUAGCGAAAGGG
rnacentral:rRNA from 1 species